GACGAACGCUGGCGGCGUGCUUAAUACAUGCAAGUCGAACGGAAGGGCGCUGCUUUUGUGGGGUUCUCGAUUGGCGAGCGGGGGAGUAACACGCGAGUAACCUCCCCUUGACUUUGGGGUAACUUCUGGAAACUCGGGCUCUUACCCGGUAGAAUCUCUUGCUGCACGUGGGUGGUUGGUGAGUUUCGGCGUUUGUGGCUGGUCUCGCGGCUUAUCAGCUUGUUGGUGUGGUAGUUGCUUACCAAGGGUUUGACGGGUAGCCGGCCUGGGAGGGGGACCGGCCACCUUGGGCCUGAGAGAGGGCGCAGAAUCGUACGGGAGGCAGCGGUGGGGAAUAUUGCACAGUGGGCGGACGCCUGAUGCAGAAACGCUGCGUGCGGGAUGACCGCUUUCGGGUGGUAAACAGAUUUGGCCUGUGACGAAGAGUGAGUGACGGUAAUGGGUAAAGAAGCCCCGGCUAACUACGUG
rnacentral:rRNA from 1 species